UGCUCAGUAACUCCUAUACCUACCUCCUCGCGGUACCGGCCGGGGUACGAGUAACCGGUGGGAAUUUUGGUGGUAUGCUGACAGGAAGG
rnacentral:ribozyme from 1 species